CCAAUGCUAGAGAGUAUAAUAAAUUUCCUACAAAUUAGAUAAGGGAACCUGAUCUAAAUAAUGGUGUUGAAAGCCUGUCAAGAAUAGGAAUCCUAAAAUUAUUUAAAGGUGCCCACCUGCACAUACCAGGGAUAAUCUAACAAACUCUCUAGUUUUUUA
rnacentral:other from 2 species